UACAGAGGUCCCAAGCGUUGUUCGGAUUCACUGGGCGUAAAGGGUGCGUAGGCGGCCGGGUAAGUCUGAUGUGAAAUCUCACAGCUUAACUGUGAAACUGCAUUGGAUACUAUUCGGCUAGAGGAAUGGAGGGGAGACUGGAAUACUUGGUGUAGCAGUGAAAUGCGUAGAUAUCAAGUGGAACACCAGUGGCGAAGGCGAGUCUCUGGACAUUUCCUGACGCUGAGGCACGAAAGCCAGGGGAGCAAACGGG
rnacentral:rRNA from 1 species